GUCACUCUGUUCAACGAUACGCGGGUUAGGGUCGCGCUCGGGUCCGCCAGUUUCCGCAGACGGCCUUGGCAUCAUUCUGACCUGUGCUGCGGUUAAUGCGUCCAAUCGAGUAUUGGUUUGCUGUUCCUGUUGGUCGAGGUGUGCUAAGAUCCCGGGGAAUAGCUCGUCUAUGCUGGAGACGGGCUGGCUAUUGAUCAGGGUGAGUUGCGCUGGGUUCAGAGUCGGUUCUGUGAUCGUCGGGCUCGCUAGAUUUCUUGCGAUGACGAACGCUUCUGGACUCUCCGCUGUAGCAGCCUUUCUUGGAGCGUCCGGGUUUGGGAGGACCGCCUGUCCUACUUGACCCGUUGUCGGGGUUGUUGUUCCCCCUGACGAUUCGGCUUCCUUGCUUCCUUCCUUUGUGGCUAUGGUCAUCUUGCGUAUCUAUUGUAGGUCCGUUCUUAAAACUUUCAAAGAGAAUCUCGACUUGGUUCCCUCUUCCUGGCGUGCCAAAUUGUUGAUGUCUAAAUAGGUCCAAUUAAAGUGUUUUAUUUCGGUAUUUAGAGGGUCGAAGUUCUCUUUUAUAUAUGAAAAAGUCGGGCUACAAUUGGUAACGACGAGCUACGAAAUGACGAAAAAGAAACAAUUGACGAACUUCGAGCUCGUCAAUUCGAUACUGCGAGAACCUGUUCUCUUGUACGAAUUUCCUCCCCGUUUUCUGUGUCCCUACGCCGUAAGCCGUACAUUCACUAUUUAUAGAUUACUGUGUCGGUUCGUCAUCUGAAAAGACCAAAGUACCCUGCUCGGCCUAUUAAUCUUUUUGGGUUUUUUCUGGACUAGGCCUAUUGUUGGAGUGAAAUCCACCCCUAACAGGGUGAUAGAAAAAUCUUAUCAGCAAUCCAAACAGAGUCUCUUCAGUAACUAUUCCCUUCAGUGAUAGCGUUUUCAAUUCUGUUGCUUAUAAGAUUCAGAGAAGAACUCAGCGCUGAGUAUGGAUUUUUCACCUUUGUUAACGAAUCUUGAGGGAGAUUUCGAUAAAAAUAAUAAUGCUUCUUCUGCAACAGAAAUUGAUGAUACUUUAGAGCACUUAGAUGAUACUAAGCAGAUAAGUAAACUAAAACCUCCGAAUGAUUUUUCACCUUUUUUACUCUUUUUUUCUUAUUCUUGUUGCAAUGGGAUUCGAAUGAUGUGGAUGCUUGUAAUUUGGCUAUGAAGUCACUUCAUGAAAACUCAGAUUUUUUUCCUGUAUACCGAUCAGGAAGUUGUGAUGAGCAAGGGGCAAAACAGUUCAUGGAAUAUGAACACAUUUGCAUCGAUGAUCUUGUUGAUCAUCUUGAUUCAACUGUUGGAUGCUCUUCUCUUGGAGCCUUCUAUGGGGUAUUUGAUGGAAGCAGAUUUAUCAGUGAGAGUGGCUUCACUUCUUCAGACACACUCAAAGCUGUCCCUAGAGAAUAGUCAGUUGAAGAAGCAAGUGGAGAUAUUAUAGCAUUGAAAGCUCAUGAGGGAAGGCUACAAUGCAAGUGUUUUGUGUGGUGAGUAUAAGUUAUCAAAGAAGGACCAUCAGAGACUAAAAUCUGGAUUGGGAUACUUAGGGUGCAAUAACAACAAUUAGCUCUAGUGAAUUAUAUAGUCUUGUUGUAUAUCUCUAUUUGUGUGGUUGGAUAAAUACAAAUUACAACAUCCUCUGUUGCUAAAUUGUUGUUUUGGAACUUAUAAAAUUAUCAUUUUACUCUUCA